UCCACUACGACCGGGAGGGGAGGGACCAAACUGAAGGCCAGGGGUCGGGAUGUUGAGGGCUCGGACCGAGGGGAGGAAAAGAGCAGCGCUGGGAGUGAGCGGCAUAGUAUAGCCAGCGUCACCCUUUUACGGGGACUAUCUCUCUAUCGCUGUAGCGACCAGAGAGGCCAGAGGACCCCUUAAAAAUCCGCUCUGAUAAGCCCCGGGGACGACCUCCUUCGCGCCUUCGGAUUGGGCCCACGAACCAGCCUGGGCUUUCCCAUUGGUGGCUGGCGCCCCGAGCUCAGCGCACAGCUUGCCGGGAGUUGUAGGACCAGGCGUCGUCUUAGUGCGGAGGCUUCGGACGUGACGACCGACGUUUUUGUUCAGCCGGCGUGAGCCCGGAGCUCCCCUUGGGGCCUACCCAGCUUAUUUUAGUUCAGGAAUCCCUCAAGCCUAGAGUGCGGCUACAAGAGCUUCCUUUCCCGGGGCAAGGGCCCUGAGGCCCUGGUUCUGGGGCCCCGUCUGGUUGACCGUUGAACCGAGGGGUGGCGGUUGGGGAGCUCGGCUCCUCGGUGGCUGGGGCUGGAGAAGCCGUUGUUUCCCUUCGGGGCCGGAAGUUCUGAGGGCGUAAGGGUUUGUCCCCCAGAAUGCUACAGUUCUGUAUACCAGAAACGGAGCGUGUUUGUCCUGCCGUUUUGAUCAUGGCGGAGAGCCCGUGACUGGUCACCGUGGGAGAGUGGAGGAUGUCGACGAGGGAUGAACCCUUUGUGGGCUCACAGACUGAUGGCGAAGAUGAACGCGUCUGGCAGCCUUGACAGUUUCUUUGUCUCCUUCUCUAAGUGUCCGUACCAGGAGUCUCCUCUUUCGGCCCUGUGGGGGCUUGGCCACACCUGGGAUCCGGGACCCGUAACUCCUUAAUUUCCAGAAAUGAUUAAUCAGGAAAAUUUUGGUUUAGAGGAGACCCUUUGUCUGGAAUACAUUUGCCUCAGAUAUCUUAGCUUGUUCAUAUGGUGUACCUUGAGGCUGGACAAGAAUGAACAUAUAAACUGGUCUCAGAAGACAUUUUGGAUCAACUGUAAAAGACUUCACCUCAGCAGAUUACAGUCCUCUUCUGAAGUCUCAGAGGUAGUCCCGGAAGGACUGUUGAGAACACACAAGGUGGUGUCGCCAGAACCAGUUAGGAGAGGCUUGAGAUUCCACUGCUAGACCCUCCGUGACCCAGGGAAGGGCUGCGGUGGGAAAUGGCCCCAAGUGUAACUGAGGCAACAUCCCAGUCUCCCUCAGGCAAAAGAGCCGUCAUCACACAUAGCAGCGAAUCCGCAGGAGCAAAGAAGCUGAAAGCUUCCAAUGCCUCCUCAUAUUUUAAUACAUAUAAUUACAUGGUGGCCAAUAUUUAUAUAAUAUUUUAAGCCUCUGAUAGCACUUUUACCACAUGACCAGACUCUUUCAGAAAUAGUAUGGGUUGUGAUGAUAGAUUUGAGCUUGAAUUCUGGUUCAACCUGCUGGUUGUGUGAUCUUAAGUAAGUUACUUAACCUCUCAGGACCUGUUUUCUCCUCUGUGAAAUGGUGAUGGUGAUGGUGAUGGGGCAAGGUGAUACCCGCCACAUAGGAUAAGGCUUGAAUGAGAAAAAUAUCUAGUAUGAUGUCUGACACAUAGGAGGCACUCAAUUUCCUUUCCUUCUCUAAAGGUAGCUAUUUGCAUCAGUUGACCUCAAACUUCCAGAGUAGUCAAAUGUGUAGAAAGGUAACAUAGUCUCUUCAGAUCUGUCUCAUGUCACACAGUGAUUCUUCACUGCAGUGAUGGGGGUGGGGGGACUGAUGUCUGUCUUGUUAAAAAGCCCCUGCAUCCCCUGCCCCCAGACUUCCCUGCUGAGAAUCACUGGGCUACACUUUGAUAUCCCAAGUAUCUCUUAGUAAUUUAAUAUUGUUUGAUAUUUUCACUCAUGGCUUUAUUUCAAUAAAGACUUGCUUUCAUGGAAGGGCAAGAC